rnacentral:rRNA from 1 species
GCCCGCGUUAGAUUAGUUAGUUGGUGGGGUAAUGGCCUACCAAGACUACGAUCUAUAGCUGGUUUGAGAGGAUGAUCAGCAACACUGGGACUGAGACACGGCCCAGACUCCUACGGGAGGCAGCAGUGGGGAAUCUUAGACAAUGGGGGCAACCCUGAUCUAGCGAUGCCGCGUGAGUGAUGAAGGCCUUAGGGUCGUAAAGCUCUUUCGCCUGUGAUGAUAAUGACAGUAGCAGGUAAAGAAACCCCGGCUAACUCCGUGCCAGCAGCCGCGGUACUACGGAGGGGGUUAGCGUUGUUCGGAAUUACUGGGCGUAAAGCGCACGUAGGCGGAUUAGUCAGUCAGAGGUGAAAUCCCAGGGCUCAACCCUGGAACUGCCUUUGAUACUGCUAGUCUUGAGUUCGA